UCGAGAAUCAUCCUGUUCUAGACGACAGCGGGAGACGGGCACGCAUGGCCUCACUGACUGGCCCCGUGGCUGAAGAGGCUGUGUCCCCUUCAGCAGUGCACGUGAAAGUGGACAUCAAGCACUGAGACCCAGGUGGAGGACGCGCUGAAGGGGAGAGCGAAAAAAGAAAAGUGGAUUAAAGAAAGAAGGCGACCAGGGAAACAAAAGACGACUUGCAGACACAUAAAAAAAACAUACAUAAGAAUAAGAGUUGGGAAUGUAUAUAUAUAAAACACAAUAGACUAAGAAAUACAAAAGAAAAAGUAAAUUUGAGAGAAGAAACAAACAAAGCCCGAACUGUGAAGCCUCGAAGCAGUGAGUCACAAGAAGAAGAAGAGGAAGACAAACCAAGAUGGAGUCGGGGUGGACGAGCCAGGAAGUGCAAUCUCUCGUGUUUUCUUGCUCUAAAACUCUACCAAGAUGUCUGAAGAUGAGGAAAGUGUGAGGAUAAAGAAGUCUAAAGGCUGAACAAGCUAUAUAGAGGCGGAAACCAACCAGGAGUGCCCAGAAUGGCGGCUAGAACAGGAUGAAUUUGCUGCCUGUGAAGACCAACACAAGAGUAAUUAAGAUAAGAACUGGACAACUCAGCGAGAUCUACGGCUGCCCUCCUACGAUGCCUCUCAGAUCAGGACCCGAAGGAGAGAUUAUAUUAAAGAGUCAAGGAUCAACACCUCACCGCUCCUGUCAACCUCAUGUUCAGCGGCCUACAGUGACCUUCCUUGCAACACACAAUCACAGGUAAACAGGUACUUUUUCGGUACAUCUGACGAGGCUUUGGUGGGGGUUGUGUUAGUGUGUCCAAGGGUAGAGUUGAGAGGAUAGUUUGUCAAGGCUUCAGGAGAUAAUAGACUUUUCUCCUUGGAACACACAAUCACAGGGAGCCAGGCAGUUUUUCGGCCCAUCUGACGAGGUUCUGGUGGAGGUUGUGUUAGUGUGUCCAUGGGUAGUGUUGAGAGGAUAGUUUGUGAAGGCUUUAAGAGAGGUUAGACUUUCCUUCUUGCAACACACAAUCACAGGUAACCAGGGAUUUUUGUGGACCAAAUUCCCAAGCAUUUCAAGGCUUACACAGUGACGAGGCUUUGGUGGAGGCUGUGUUAGUGUGUCCAUGGGUAGAGUUGUAGCCUUGUGAUAGUUAAAGGCUUUACGAGGCGUUGAUAGUACACCAGGUAUUCGUGUUAGGCGAGGGUUAUGUUCUGCAAAAAGCUCGCAUAUAUUGAACCUAUCCUCCCAUUAAUUAUAGAGGGUUAUGUUCCACCCGUUUUCGAACCCUCUAACUAUUUAUUCCGGCACCGUUUCACAAUAAUACAGCAACAGUAAAGCACAUUGAUAGUUUCCGGGGAGACACACACAGAGUCCACGAUUUAAGCUGAUAAUUAGCUACCUGGGGAUUAACUUUAGGAUCGGAGGGAGGGAAAGGUUGAUUAUAGGCGAGGAAAGUGCAGGAAAACACGCACUUGCUGCCCUCUAGUGUGAGUCUGCCAUACCAUACCGAUACUUGCAUAAUAGUGAAUUUUUCUCGCAUAAAACGAAUACUUGGCACAUUUAGGUUAGUCGCAUACGAGCGGAUUCGCAUAUUCCGAACUUGCAUAUAUCAAAUACCUGGUGUGUGUCGAACGUUCCUAAGAUGUUGUUAGUAUAUUGAACGCUACUUACACUACUUCCUUUCCCCUACAGCCACACGCCAAGCCAGGAUCGCCAGACACAUCCUCGCACCUCUCACGCCCUGCCAAGCCUCGUCACCCCAUUCACAAGUGGUUGACAGACCCUCCCUUCAGCCCAGUGCACAGACGUCGAGGUGGCAGCUCCCGCAAAUGACUCGGUAACGCGCAUUCUUUUCUAUCUUCAUGUGUGUCUUUUCUCUUUGUCCGAUUUGGGUUCACGGUGCCUCAGGGUGACGCCUCAACACCCAGCCUUCCUUGACUUUUUCCGGGGGUGUAGGUCAACAGAAGGGAGUGUUAUUUAAGGUAUAGGCGAAGUUUAGGGCCUUGGCUAUAUCUGUAUGUGGGUCGUUUUGCCCCUUGAGUCUGUGGGAGGCAGGGCAGUGGGGACAUCCAGGUUACCACAGUGUAUAUUCCCCAGGUCUCCCCAGGUAUGCAUUUAGCCCCCAGCCACGAGGAGCCUGAUCACGGACUGUCCUGGGAUUCAAACCAUGGCCCACGGGUACAUGGCUGGGCUUGCUAACCACUACGCCAGGGAGGUGCUGAGUGGGUACGUUGGGAAUAAGUAUGUGAUCGCCUUCCACGCAGAUGCAAGCCACAACCGCGCAGAGACAAGGUAACGGAGUUCUUGGGUAACCGUCCACUGCGAUCGUCAGGGAUUUUGCCUUCACUGGUAGCCUGGUAACAUACAGUCCCAGGUCUCUCUCUUCUUGAACUUUCUUUAAUAUUUCACCGUCUCCCAUUCUGUAUGUCCAUUUUGGUCUCCCUUUCCCAUUUCCAUUACAUAACAUUUCUUCACAUUGAAUUCCAUCUCCCAUUCCAUACUCCAGUCCCAAAUCUUAUUGAGGUCAUCUUGCAGAAUCUCACAAUCUUUACUGUUUCUUAUAUGUCUCUGCAAACAGGCUUGUAUAACUGUGCUGGAUAUCCCCUCCCAAGGUGCAGGACUUUACAUUUUUCUUCAUUGAAUCGUUGCAGACACUCUUUGUUCCGUUCCUGUAGCUUGGUGAGGUCUGCUGCUGGGAAAUACACAGCCAAGGCGAUGAUCACUUCAAGGCUUUAUUCUUUUCCAGAGUGACCCAUGACUCUGGUAGACUGCUUGGAGGGGGUGUGAUGAUGGGCCUCAGUAUGGUAGCAGGGCAGGCAAGUAUGGGUCAUAUUACUAAGCAUUCCAUCCCCCAAGCACAUACAUUUGACAAGGACAGGUUGAAAAUUGUGUAAUGUUUUCCGUAAGAGUGUCACACAUACAUAUCAAUAGCUCUGUGGUUGGUUACGCUUUUUAAUUCUAGUUUUUGGGGCGGAGAUGUCAGGCAGAUGCGUUGGAAUUUCACAGAAUCGACAUGCGACAAACUCGGUCGUAGAAAUCAACAUAAAAAAUCUACACGGCUCGCUACGCCUUCUGUGGUUGGUUACGCUUUUUAAUUCCAGUUUUUGGGGCGGAGAUGUCAGGCAGAAGCGUUGGAAUUUCACAGAAUCGACAUGCAACAAACUCGGUCAUAGAAAUCAACAUAAAAAAAUCUACACGGCUCUCUACGCCUUGAAAAAAACGGGUAUAGAAAAGACAAUUCAGCCGUAGUUAGUAUUGACGAAAACCACUUUAAAAAUACACGGCAACAGUAAUAGAGGUUGAGUGUGUGUGUGUGUGUGUGUGUGUUAAGGUGACUAAUGCAGUUUUUUUUAUAUAACAGAGACAGCUCAAGGGCACACAAAAAAAGAAAACAAUAAUAUAAAAAAGCCCGCUACUCACUGCUCCUAAAAAGAAUCCAAAGAGGUGGCCGACAGAGGGAUCAAUUUCGGGAGGAGAGGUGUCCUGAUACCCUCCUCUUGAGAGAGUUCCAGUCGUAGGCAGGAGGAAAUACAGAUGAAGGGGUUGAGUGUAUGUGUGUGUGUGUGUGUGUUAAGUUUGAAGGUAUAGCAAACAUGUGGUCCUGCUUGGCUGGUGCGAUUGUUUACUUUGAGAAGAAGCACUCGGCACGUUAUAUCUUUCCUUGUGUGUCUGAGUAGUGAGAAGCGUACAAGAGACAUUGAAUUUAACGGAAGUGUGUCCAAGAACCGUUCAACAUCACAUCAGUCUUUCCAGGAGUUUGUUGACGAUAAAUUUAACUUUACUGCGUCUAAGGAGCACUCAACAUCACACGAGACUUUCUAGUUCGUUGACUGAUUUUAAAGUGUUCAGAAGAGUACGAAAAAACAUCUUUAUAUUUACUUGAGUGUCUAAAGAACUGUUCAACAUCACAUCAGUCUUUCCAGGAGUUUGGCGAUGAAUUUUAACGUAGCGAGAAGAGUACAGAGGAUGUUGAAUUUACCUUACAUGUGUCCAAGAACUGUUCAACAUCACACACGACCUUCCAGGAGUUUGUCGAAGGAUUUUAAAGUAUGGAUACUGUUCAAAGCUUACACAGUGACGAGGCUUUGGUGGAGGCUGUGUUAGUGUGUCCAUGGGUAGUGUUGAGUGGAGAGUUUGUCAAGGCUUUGGUGGAGGUUGUGUUAGUAUGUCCAUGGGUAGUGUUGAGUGGAGAGUUUGUCAAGGCUUUGGUGGAGGCUGUGUUAGUAUGUCCAUGGGUAGUGUUGAGUGGAGAGUUUGUCAAGGCUUUGGUGGAGGUUGUGUUAGUAUGUCCAUGGGUAGUGUUGAGUGGAGAGUUUGUCAAGGCUUUGGUGGAGGCUGUGUUAGUAUGUCCAUGGGUAGUGUUGAGUGGAGAGUUUGUCAAGGCUUUGGUGGAGGUUGUGUUAGUAUGUCCAUGGGUAGUGUUGAGUGGAGAGUUUGUCAAGGCUUUGGUGGAGGUUGUGUUAGUAUGUCCAUGGGUAGUGUUGAGUGGAGAGUUUGUCAAGGCUUCGGGAGAGGUUGUGUUAGUAUGUCCAUGGGUAGUGUUGAGUGGAGAGUUUGUCAAGGCUUUGGUGGAGGUUGUGUUAGUAUGUCCAUGGGUAGUGUUGAGUGGAGAGUUUGUCAAGGCUUUGGUGGAGGUUGUGUUAGUAUGUCCAUGGGUAGUGUUGAGUGGAGAGUUUGUCAAGGCUUUGGUGGAGGUUGUGUUAGUAUGUCCAUGGGUAGUGUUGAGUGGAGAGUUUGUCAA